rnacentral:misc_RNA from 1 species
UUUCCGUAGGUGAACCUGCGGAAGGAUCAUUAAAGUUAUAGUCCCCCGGCCCCUCCGGGCUGGGGUCUUCUAUACCACCCUUUGUUUAUUACACCUUUGUUGCUUUGGCAGGCCUGCCCUCGGGCUGCUGGCUCCGGCCGGCUCAUGCCUGCCAGAGGACCUAAACUCUGUUUGUAUAUGAAGUCUGAGUACUAUAUAAUAGUUAAAACUUUCAACAACGGAUCUCUUGGUUCUG